rnacentral:rRNA from 1 species
AUUGAACGCUGGCGGCAGGCCUAACACAUGCAAGUCGAGCGGAUGAAGGGAGCUUGCUCCUGGAUUCGGCGGCGGACGGGUGAGUAAUGCCUAGGAAUCUGCCUGGUAGUGGGGGACAACGUUUCGAAAGGAACGCUAAUACCGCAUACGUCCUACGGGAGAAAGCAGGGGACCUUCGGGCCUUGCGCUAUCAGAUGAGCCUAGGUCGGAUUAGCUAGUUGGUGAGGUAAUGGCUCACCAAGGCGACGAUCCGUAACUGGUCUGAGAGGAUGAGCAGUCACACUGGAACUGAGACACGGUCCAGACUCCUACGGGAGGCAGCAGUGGGAAAUAUUGGACAAUGGGCGAAAGCCUGAUCCAGCCAUGCCGCGUGUGUGAAGAAGGUCUUCGGAUUGUAAAGCACUUUAAGUUGGGAGGGAGGGUUGUAGAUUAAUACUCUGCAAUUUUGACGUUGCCGACAGAAUAAGCACCGGCUAACUCUGUGCCAGCCGCCGCGGUAACAC